rnacentral:lncRNA from 1 species
UUUACACGAUAGACUUCAACAAAUGAUAAAAGAGUAAUGGCACAAAUUAUUGAGUCACAUAACUGCAGUAAAUCCCAAAUAGGGAAGACUUGUUGUCUUGCAAUAUAGAAUGAAAAAUGAAAAAUGAAAAGUAAUGUCCACCUCCCAUCCCACAUCUUUCCCUUCUUUCUCCUUCCUUGGUAGGGAAUCCCAGAGGUAAGGCAUAAUAUUCCCUCCUUUCAUGGUGUUUUCAUAUUCUUUAGUUAAUAAGUAGGAUCCAUGUCUAUCCCUCCACAAUAACUUUAUCUAUUAUUCAACAAAACACGUAGUGGUCAGUGUCCAACUGUGAAAAAUAUGAUUGUGUUUCCAAAACUAUGAAGGAUUAGUAGUUUAUUUACUAGCCAGAGGCAGGAGAUUAGCUAAUAUCUAGUGAAUAUAAUGUGGAUAAUGUUGAAUGCGUGGACCCUAACAUCUUGUACAAUUUUCUUCUUGACCGUGGUUCGAUCCCAAGGGGAACAUUAGGAAUUCGUACAUGUAUUAGGUCACUCACCCUAAUAUUUUCAUACUAUCUAAAAGGUAUUCAAGCAAGACCUAUUUGUAUGUCAUAGUAGAGAGAAACACGGAGAGGCAUAACUCCAGAAUACAUUGUUCUCUUCUUUGAUAGUGUGCAAUUCUUUAGCGAGCUAUGUGAACAUAGCUCUCGCAUUGAGAGAAACAACUUAAAUGGCAUAUUUUAUUACUUUUGUUUUUUUAUUUCACAUUAUUAAAAGCUCUGGGUAAUAUGUGUUAUUCGUUUAAUCCUUGAAAAAUAAAAUGCUUGCUUUUAAAUGUAUAUAAAUUGAGAUACUUCUAGCUUUUGACACACAUAUAAAUAUAAAAAAAAAGAAAUAACAGCAAGCAAACAAUGCGACUUUUAGUAGGAGAAUAAAUCACCAAAAAAAACUAGGAUGAACCGGUAAAAUGAAAACUCGCAGCUUGUAAAACACAUACCGGCGAUGACCCUCAUUGGCCCAAGUUCUCUCACAUAAUCAAGAAGUCUGGACAAUGUAUUAGGCGUAUGAGCAAAGUCCACGAUUACUCGAAAAGCGUGUUCCUCAUCUAUGAACUCAAAACUACCAGGAAUAGCAUCAACCUCUUUAAUUCCUAUAACAAUGUCCUCCAAAUGGGCCCCAACUGCAAUUCCAAUAACUAUAGUAGCCAAAAUGUUGUAAAUAUUGUGCCUCUCAAGCAGACCCGAUGUAAUAUUCCUUGUGGUGUAUUGACCAAAACCUGCAUCUCGAAUAGAGAUAAUUCAAACUUCAAAGGAUGAUCAUCAGCCUUCUUAUUCUCCAUUGCAAAGGUCACAACAGGUACAUCAGGAUUCCCUUGUGCAACAAAGAAAGCUACACUGAGGUCAUUGAUUUUAACAACUUUGCGAUGGUGUUUUGGAUCCACCGUCUUCAAAAAGAGUUUAGCCUUGGCAUCCCUAUACUCAUCCUCAGUCUCGUGAAAAUCCAAAUGAUCCCUAGUUAAGUUUGUGAAAAUUGUAAUAUCAAAAUCAACCAUAUCACACAUUCCUAGUGCCAAUCCAUGAAAAGAAGUCCCCAUAACUAAUGCCUCUGUGCCGUUAUGUACCAUCUUUGCCAUCAACUUUUGAACCAAAACAAAACAGCAUCAGGGUGUUAUCCCCAUGGACUUAAUACACCACAGUACUCAACAUCCUGAUCCCACCCGCUUGCUAAAACCCCCCAUAGCCGAUUGAAUGGUUGGUUAGCCACUCAACUGUUCACUAUACUUCCUCAACCCCAUUGCCUCAUAAAUGCCCAUGAUAAAAAAUGCAAUGGUUGUCUUCCCAUUUGUCCCUUGACAUACUAUUAGAGGAAUAUCUAUAAAACGAAGCCGCCAGUGCAGCAAGCACUGUAUUAGUAUCCUCUACAAUAACCAAAGCCUUGGACCCCAAUGUCUCCUCUAUAUCAACCUUCUUACUAGCCACAACUACAACAACCACUCUCUUAUCCUCCUCGGAUAAAAACAGAUGCCCGUCAGUUUUCCUCCCAAUACAGCACACAAAUUAAUUGCAACUUGCAACAACUCGUGAAUCAUGUGAAAUUCCACUGAUUUCAACCUCUAAAUUACCAUAUACUACUAUGGGGACUACUUUAUUCUCAUCUAAAAGCUCCAUUAAGCUCAUUUUAAACUUGGGUUCCACAAUUCGAGCCUUUGUUUUACCAAAUUCAUCAAAAUCAAUAUCAAACGAAGAUAACUUGCUCGAUAAUUCUCCAUCACUAACCUCAAAAUCAGACCUUUCGAAGCUUUCCUCGUCACUUUCAUUCUCAUUUUCAUCAUCAGAAAUAUCAGCCAACGCUUGAAGCUCUUUAAUUUUGUCUAAAUCUACUACUUCUUCAGGCUCUAAUUCUGUUAAAUGUAGUGUAAAUUUGACCAAAAAAAUUCUAGAAAUAAGAAGAAGUUCCAAAAUCAUCAAGAAGCUUUAGAAGUAUGAAGAUGAUGAAUAUAUGACUUAGUCAAAACUCAACUUGGUUAAGCAGAAGUUUUUUAAUGAACAGAAGAAUUUUACAUGGUUAAGGAAAAGCUCGCAUUGGUUAAGAGCUAUUAAAGAAUUAUGUAAUUAUCUUGAACUCUUCUUCUAUUAAAGAAGGUGGAAGUUACUUAAUCAUUUUGAACUCUUCUUCUAUCAAAGGAGGUGAAAGUUAUUUAUUCAUUUCAAACUCUUCUUCUAUCAAAGGAGGUGGAAGUUAUUUAGUUAUUUUGAACUCUUUUUCUAAUAAAAGUGGUUGAAAAAAGUUACUUGAUCAUCUUGAACUCUUCUUAGUUUUUUUUAUAAAUAGAUGUAUUGAUAUGUAUUUUGAAUUAUCGGGUAGAAGAGAAAUUUUCAUGCUUGUAUAAGAGAGUGAGAGAGUAUUGCUCUAUUGUACUAGUUAUAUAUUGUGAGAUUAAUGAAAAUUUUAUUAUUUGAGUGAAAAAGCGAUAUUUUAUCACACUCUACCCAACACUAGUAUCAGAGCCAAGAAAAAAAGUGACAAAAUAUUUAUUUUCAAUUCGAUAUAGCUUCCUAAAAUAGUUUUUUCCAGCCAUAGCUACCAAGACUAACAAAGGAGAAUUAUGAGAAUUGAAGCAUACAAAUAAAGGUGUUCUUAGCAUCCUAAGACCUAUGGGAAAUGGUGGAGAAGGGUUAUACAGAACCUACGUCUAAAGCUGAUGAAGACGUAUUAAGUACAACUGAAAAGGUAGCACUUAAAGAAGCAAGGAAGAAAGAUCAGAAGGACAUGUACCUAAUAUAUCAAACAAUGUGAAUUCGCCUAUAAAUGUUGAAAAGCAAAUUUGAAACAUUGGAGAUGCUUGAUAGCAAGUCAAUCUUAAAGUAUUUUACUCGAGUCAUCACAAUAGUGAACAAUAUCAAGCACAAUGGAGAAAAUAUCAAAGAUUUGCAGGUAAUAGAAAAAAUCAUUCGUUCCCUAAAUUCGUAGUUUGAUAAUAUAGUCAUUGUAAUUGAAGAAUCCAAAGAUGUUAGUACUAUGACUGUUGAUAAACUGUUAGCUUCUCUAGAGAUCCAUGAGCAAUAGAUCAAUAAGAAAGAUUCAUCAAAAUCUCUUGAUCAAACAUUGCAAUCAAAGUUUUCUCUUCAAGAAAAUAAAAAAGAAAAACGAUAAUCACAACCAAGUUGAGGAAAGAGCCGGUUUCAAAGAAAACAAGGUUUCAACAAUAGAGAAACGGGAGGAAGAUUUAACAUCAACAAUGGACAUAGAAUUCAACAACAAUUUUAUCAAAAAGGAAUAUGACAAUAUAGAGGUCGAGGUAGAGGUAGUGGGCAAGAAAGAUGCAAAAAUGAUUUUAACCAUCAAAUUGGUGACAAAAAGAACAUGCAGUGUUAUAACUGUCAUAAGUAUAGACAUUAUAAUAAUGAAUGUCAUGUAAAGAUUGUUGAUGAUGAAGUUAGCGAAGAUACCAACUUUGGUGAUACAAGUGAUCCACUAAUAUUGAUGGCUCAUCAUACAACAACAGAUAAUGAAGAUAUAUGGUUUUUUGAUACAAGAGCAAGUAAUCACAUGACACACCCCGCUCCGUGUAACACCACUAGAUCCGGACGUGGCAUGUGCCGAUGAUAGAUACCAACUAAAAGUCGGACCCACCAUCAAGGCUACUACAAAUACAAUAUAUCACUUUUUAUACAUCAUUUUUCUAACAGAAUUUCGGCAUUAUCUCCCCUGUAAACAGGACUAACCAACCUGUGAUCAAUUUCACACAAAUCCUAAACUAUAGCACAACACAAUAAAGAUAAGCCGAAAUCUCAACCUUAACAAGACAUAAAAUGAAAUACACAUAUGGAUACAAAACACAUAGUGAACCUCAUAACUAUCUACAAGUGAUGCAAAAUCACAUCUAGACGUGAACAUGCAUCCCAAAACACUGACUACAUGUUCUAUGAAGUGAGUCUUCAGCUUACGCAAAGGAUUUCCUAGAAUAGUAUUAACGACUUUCUAGCAACCCACAGAAACAUAACAAGGCAAGCAGUUACAACAAUCAAAAUCGACAUUCAGCAUAGAUAAUUUCAUUUUUACGCUUCUUCCUCAGAGCAUGCGGUCAUUAGAAAGAACUAUAUAACGAGCAUGUUUGGGAAAAAAAAGUUGUUGUUUUAGAAGUUGGGAUCCACAAAUUGUGUGGACCAAAAUUCCUAGGUCAUAAGAUGGAAAUUAUUUUUGCCAAACAUGCUUAUCAACGUUCUUCUUCCCUUACAAGUUUAUGUUUGACAGAGAGGAUUAGAUGAUAUUAAAAAAGAAAAAGAAGUUAAAAUCAUUUUAAUCAUAUUGUCUAGCCUUGUUGAGUCAGUGCACCCAACCCAACAUGCACUAUGAAUAACACAGCUUCAUAUGUUCCAUUAGAAUUAUUAUUGUUGGAAAAAUGAGUUGAAUGGCUAAUUUUGGCAAAAAUUUUGAUUGGGACUCGUUUGUUUAUUUUGGAAGAUCAAAAUUGAUUUGUGUUCUCCUCCGUGAGAACCUCGAAGUCAUAUAUUUACUUGUCAAAAAUGAUCAUCGGCUGAAUGAGAAAUUGGAGCUCAAAUUGUGCCAAUUAAAAGGAAUUUGUGUGUUGGAGAAGGUUUGACCGACAUAGGAAAAUAAUGAAAAUAAAGACCACUUUAUAUAGGAUUACGCUUUGAAAGUGUAUAGUCAUGUGUAGUAUAAAGGCUCUCUCCAUGUGCACGUAUAGGGAGAGUGCAAAUCUGGAUUGAAAUAGACUUUGUACCUAGAACUUGUAUGCGGACGUGACCUACGUAUACGAAUAUCGGAUUGGAUUGAUAAAAAAUUGUACCCCUAGAAGGGCCUAUGUUUUGCCAAUUUUUUUCUUCCAACUGACCUUUUAAAUUCCAAAACUACUGAAACCCCAAUAGUUAUUGUCAUUAUAAUACAAGUUAAUGGCAUACUUAUGGACAGAAUUAACUCACCAUUCAUGGGGUUAAGUCUCUAUAUGAAAACCUGUUUUUCCACUAUUCCACACAAGAAACAAUACAGUUUUUGCAUAGUUUCUCUUGGUUUGCAUCAGUUUCUGCAUAGUUUCUUUUGGUAUGCAUAUUGCAUAAAUUUAAAGUCCCUUGUCUGUCUGAUUUUUUUUUUCUUUUGGUGAUAUUGUUCUAACACAAGUUCAGUUCGCCUGAGUAGUAAUUGAGGUGCUCAAAUUCUAUCCGUUACUCCAUUGUUUCUUGAGAGACAAGUGUUCGAACUAAAAAUCAAGCACCUACGGUGAAGGAGCAAAUUUGUAAGGAAACUGUGUUCACAUAAGUCUCGAUUUCAAAUUUCAUUUGAUUCUUUUCCUUGUUUGUUGUAAUUUAGAUUAACUUAUUCUAUUUUAUUGUAAUUAGCAAAAUUAUUUAAUUUGCUAUAUUUUGGCUAAUAUUUAGUAAGCUAUUGCAAAUCCAGUAUUUCUGUUGGUUACAUAUCUGGUGUGUACAAAUUUGGUAUUUCUGUGUGUUGCAAAUCCGGUAUGUGCAAAUCCGGUAUGUGUUCAUCCGGUAUUUGUUACAGUUACUAAUAAUUUUUAUUCUAACUUACUUCAUUUCAGAAGAUGAUUCAUAAAAAUACAACAGCAAAGUUAAAUGUAAAUAGAUAAGGAAAACUAGAACAACGUACUACCAUGAAAAUUCAAUCACAUCAAUCCCAGCUUGGUGAAGCUCGUCUACAUACUGCAGUGCUUCUCGGCAUUCCUCCCUAUCAUCAAAGAACUCCUUCUUGUCGCCACCUUCUAUUUGAUAUGUUUCAUGGCCUUUACCAGCAACAACCUGUGGCAAUAGUUAAUGUAAAUGAUAGAGGAUUUCAAUAAUAAGAUUUUUAGUAAAUUUUUACCCGUCUCAAUAGUUAGCGUAAAUGUUUGAAUAAAUAUGAGAAAAGCAUAAUGGUCAUUGAGAACUUACAACUAUGUUCCUCACCCAUAGCAACAGCAUACCGUACGGCAACUCGUCUUAUAUCAUGUAGAAAAAGCCUAUGCCCAUUAGAGAGAGGUGGAUAGUAAUCAUUUUCUCCAUGUUUCAAAAAAUCCUGCAUUGUCCACCUACACCGGCUAACAUGUCGUCUAGUAUGUCACUGGCGAGAAUAAAAUGAUUUGGGAUCAAUACUUCUUCAGCAUUUAAAGAAGAAAACACUAAUUUCAGUUUUUACACAAGCACAAAAAUACAAGUCCACAUGCUUGCAGUUGAGAAUGGAAGAAGGCGAUGAUAUCAUUAUACAAAAGAAAAAAAAAAUGGAGUAUAAGAAACUGUCUCUUUCUUAAUAAAAUAAUUCACACUUCUUUUUUAAUUUUUGGUGGGAUAGAAUACGGUAAUACACCAAUCAGAUAUGACUAAACCUGACAAGUAAUUUAUGUUUUUCUAAAAUUUUGGGUCAAGUGUGAUACACAUCAAAAAAGACAUUUCAAAUGGUGCGUUGCCAUAAUAUAUCAGAUAAUAAAAUAUGUAAUAAAAAUUGAAACUUAGUUAAAAAUUUCUGUGGAGUUAACGAAAAUCUCUGUAGCAAGGACAUUUCAAUUAGGAUAACGUGUCCGAUGCGUGUUGAUAUUGAAACUCCUCGGACAUCUAUCAUAAACAUUUUUCUUUUUUAUUAAAAAUAUAUAAUAUUUUUAAUUCCAAAUUAUUAAUAUAUAACAAAUAGGUGCUCUUAUUUAAAAUAUUUCAACAAGAAGGAUUAAUAAAUAUAAAAUUAAACUUAUACUAUAUAAAUGAAAAAUAAUCAACGUAUCAGCAACAUAUCGUAUCAGUACUUUUUCGAAAAAUCGCGUGUCGACAUAUGCCACACAUAUCGUGUCAGACAUAUAUAUUCGUGUCGAUGCAUCAUAGAUGAAAAUACAUUACUAGAUUCAAUGACAUGAGCGGAACAUAUCCUGAAAUAAUUGCAAGGAUCUUCAUUUUUUGGAUUGUCUAAUGUCAAGAUUGUAAUGUAACUUUAUAGGUUGCAAUUUUUGUCAUCAUGGGCCUCUUUCCUCUGUUACUCUCUCCAGCACAAUCAAAAACUUCAGAAGGCACAUAAGAAUCCAGUCAAAGAUGACAUAGACAUUUCUCCACAAAAACUUAAGCUAAUAUUUGAGCAAUAACAAUGGUCCUAAGUUUGCGUUUGUGUGAAGGCUAGUAAUAUACAUUUAGAAUAAAAAUGCUCCAAAUAUCAAAAGGGAAAUCUACCUAACACAUCAUGAAGGAAAACUGAUUUUGAUAAACAAUUUAUUUUGCAAUAAUCGAGUGUACAGCAAUCUGGAAAUUCAAGAAUUCCUCUUAUGGCAAGCAAAUAUCAAGUUUGAAAUUUUAGCAGCCACUAUCCUCUGCCACUGAUGAAAUAUAUUUUCAAAAUUUUCACAAGUUUUUUAUUGUUCUAUUAUUUCGGCAACAGAUUUUGAAUUCAAUUGAACCUGGAAAUUUAAAAUUCAGAUAAUUGUCAGCUCAUUUGCAUGGUCUUAAUUCUGUAUUGAAAAAAUUUAUUAUGUAGAUAGUGACCAAUAUUUGAGGUACCCUUCUUUCAGAUCUAUUAUAUAUUGCUCUUGGGCAACCUACAAACAGAUCCAUUCCAAGAACUUGGGGACUGGGUAAAGUGAUCAGUCUCCAAAUAUGGGAGGCUCAUUGCUAAAGCUGAGAUAAUGAAAAAUUACUAUUUAGGCAAUUCAGAAAACGAGGAAAAAAAUUCUCUAUAGUCAAGAUUGACCGACUUUGAGUACCUUUACACGAUAGACUUCAACAAAUGAUAAAAGAGUAAUGGCACAAAUUAUUGAGUCACAUAACUGCAGUAAAUCCCAAAUAGGGAAACUUGUUGUCUUGCAACAUAGAAUGAAAAAUGAAAAGUAAUGUCCACCUCCCAUCCCACAUCUUUCCCUUCUUUCUCCUUCCUUGGUAGGGAAUCCCAGAGGUAAGGCAUAAUAUUCCCUCCUUUCAUGGUGUUUUCAUAUUCUUUAGUUAAUAAGUAGGAUCCAUG